rnacentral:rRNA from 1 species
UACGUAGGGUCCGAGCGUUGUCCGGAAUUAUUGGGCGUAAAGAGCUCGUAGGCGGUUUGUCGCGCCUGCUGUGAAAUCCCGAGGCUCAACCUCGGGCCUGCAGUGGGUACGGGCAGACUAGAGUUCGGUAGGGGAGACUGGAAUUCCUGGUGUAGCGGUGAAAUGCGCAGAUAUCAGGAGGAACACCGGUGGCGAAGGCGGGUCUCUGGGCCGAUACUGACGCUGAGGAGCGAAAGCGUGGGGAGCGAACAGG